rnacentral:lncRNA from 7 species
GCAGAGAAUGAAACCAUCAGCUGUCCUCGAAGCGGUGCUCCAUACUGCGGUGACACACAACGAGGGCCCUGCUUGCUGACUCUCCCAAUGACUUUGCUGAGGUUUCCAUGCCCAACUCUUGUGAGCACCAUCAGGACCGGACAGCAACGGGCGGACGGAGAUGGUGGAUGAGAGCUGCCAGGUGCAUGCAACUUCUUGCCCAAGAUUUCCAAGACCUGAUGGUGUGGAGAGCUUUAAAAGAAGGAUCUGAAGGAAAGCAGUGAUGCAACUUCGUGGGUGCCUCUUGCUGUGAUUUAGUGCUGUCUGUGCUCAGGCACCAGCUCAGCCUGCAGCCAGGCAUCACUUCUAUCACUAAAGUAGUGCUGCACACUGUGUGGAUAUCCCACAGACUAGUCAAAAGAGGACAAAGCAUCUCUCCUCUCACUUGGAGUACAGCAUGCACCAGUAACUUGCAUGAGAAUUGUAUUACCCAGAACCUGCAUGAUGACUUCACACACCACAAAAUAUGGGCAGUCACAGGAGUGCAACUGCAGGGGCCCUCCUUGGCUUUCUUCAGAUCACAGUUUGCCAGCUCCCAUCCCAGAAAUGUGAGUCCUGAGAAUGACUGCAGAAACUUUUACUUGUCUGAGCUCCAGGAGUAUUUAUGUAAUUUAAUCGAUGAACUGCACUGAUUUAUUUGCACUAAGUAACUCCUUGGGAUCUGGAUAAUAGAUAAGGGUGUGCACAGUGCUGUACAAACACAUCAUAAAUAAAUGCAGCUUGC